AACUUCAUUUAUUAAAUUAACACUAAAGGAAAACUCCCAUAAUGUGUCGUUUGAUUGACGAUCUAAUUGAAUGCGGGAAAAUCAGCAGUCGUGAUAUGUGGCCUGAACAGCUGUAUAGUUCCAGCACAAUAAAUAACCAUAAUAACUACUUGGCUUAUAACGAGCAUAGCACGCCCACACAUGGCUGCAUUAAAAUGCCAUCUCUUGAGAUUAAUGCGAAAAGGUCAUGCGAACAUUUAACGAGGGCCACUCACUGUGGAUUGGACAUUGACCUUCGCUUUUUAUAUACCCUGCACGUGCGACAUGGCGUCGAUUGGGUAUAGGUAUAGCUAAGCGUUAACAGAAGGUAGCCCAGCAUCCAGUACUGCAUAUUUAUCCAGCUGGUAUUUUGAGACAUUUGAAAAAUUAAAUUGAGCUUCUUACAAAGCUUCCUAGAAACAAC